UUCAGUAAUUGUUGUUAUAUUUACAGAACACAAAUACACAAUUAAAUAUUUCUUCAUUAGUUUUCUGCUGUUUAAACUCAGUGAUGUUUCAGUAAAAACGUCUGACUCUGGAGCACAGUGUACUGUACACACUGCAGAAGACUGGAGGAGAAAUAACACUGAAUGGUGGAUUAGUGAUGAGAUUCAUCUCUACACUCAGAAACACAAUAUACAUGACACAUAAAGAUAGUAAAGAAUAACUUUUUAAUGCUGCUCACUUCUACAUCUCCAAAUACAAAUCCACACAUUAACUCAGUAGUAGUGUGAGAAUAACAGUAAGAUUGGGGAGUUGUGGUAAAGGUGUUUCCAUACUUAGAGGACACUUUGCAUUGGCAGCACAUGCUUCAGUGAUCUGGGAGUGUUUAUAGUGCUGUGACUUUAACACUUCAUGACUGAGAGCUGCUGCUACAGCAACUUCACCCACAGCUACCAUGACUUUGAUCCCCGUCUUCAUCUGGACACUGAUCCUCUGGACUCAAGAAUGCAGAGGUCAAGCCACAGUAACUCAGACUCCUGCAGUGAAAUCUGUUCUUCCAGGAGAAACAGUCACCAUCAACUGUAGAACCAGUCAGGCAGUGUAUAGUAACUCAGAUGGUCACUUCUUACACUGGUAUCAGCAGAAACCUGGAGAAGCUCCUAAACUCCUGAUUAAGCUCGCAAAUCAGAGACAGUCAGGUUUUCCAGCUCGUUUCAGUGGCAGUGGAUCUGGAUCUGAUUUCACUCUGACCAUCAUUGGAGUCCAGACUGAAGAUGCAGGAGAUUACUACUGUCAGAGUUACCAUGAAAUCUCUGGCUACUGGUUCACACAGUGUUAUAGAGUCGUACAAAAACCUCCCUCAGUCAGAUUGAAGAGAGACUGAACUGCUGCAGCUGGGAGCGACUGCAGGUGCUGAGUUGGAGGAUGUGAUACGACACAAUGACACUCUGUGGAGGAGAAGAACCACAUCACACUAACUCACAACUCACAUUAGAGAUCUCUUAAUAAUCAUCACACCAAACUGAACACAGUCCAUUAUGUUGUUGUUUUCUGCAGUCAUGGUCCUUACUCUUACUAUUGGAAACAUCAAGUAUCUGAUCAUCACAUUUAUUUAUCUUCCAUUUUAUGCCCCAAACUCCAUCUAAUCUAUCUUGUUCACAAAUAUUGUUUUUCAUAUUUCAUGAAUUUUCGAUCUUGCAUCAAAAUUCCCAUCGCAUCACCUCUUGAAAACCCACAGCAUCUCCACAACACACUCUUCAUAAUGCUCAGGUUUCCUGUUGUUCUGAUAUUUUUUACUAAUAAGUGCUUCUUUUGUACUGAUGUUUCUACACAAUGACUCACUGUGGUGUUUGACAUUAACUCCACAUUUUCGGAAAACAUUUAAUUUAAAAACUAAUUCUGAUAAUAAUCCAGUGUAAGUGUAACUGUAACAACCCUAAAAUAAGUUUCAUUUACAAAGACAGCGAACGUAAUGAUGUUAAUUUGUGUAAAAUCAAACUGAAUUAAUCUGCUAUUUAAAUUAGUAGUAAUAAUGUUAAUAAUAAUAAUAGUUAAUAAUAAUAAUUAAUAUUAAUAGUUGACAUUUCAUUGGUGGUGUUUAUUGACUCUUGGUUGCUGUGUGAUUGUUUAAUAUUUAGAGAUAAUUUCCCUCUACAUUUAUUGCCCAACAGGUUAUGCACUAGAUUAUUUAUUUUAUUAGAUAUUUGUAAAGUAUUGUUGGUAAUUUGCUGUUUUCUUUAUUGGCAAAUAUUAUAAAGUGCCAGAGCAAUGAAAUAAACAUAUUUAAAUAUGAAAUUAAAUCAAAUGAAGUAUCAGUCUACAUAGUUCAGCCAUACUAACUGAGUCAAACCAAACUCAUUUGUCAAACUUUAUUUAUGAUAUAAGAAAUCAGCAUUUUCCAACAUCAGGCUCAAAAUAUGCAGAUCAGAUUUUAUUCGUAUAUUUCAGGCAGAGUAGCGAGUUCAGCUUUUUGCAACUUUGGUGGCUGAGAUUCAUCAGGGGACUACCAAAUAAUCAGGUUAACAAUCUUUUUUUUUUGAUCAACAUUUUUUAUUAUUAUUUACUUAUUGCAAAACACCAAACUAUAUACAUCAGAUGCCAUGAUUAAGAGAUAUUGUACAACAUUAUAUAACACAAUAUUAAGUUCAAAGCCCUUGUAGUCAUUUAAGUUGCUGUCAGUGUUUCAAUUUGUCCAGUAAAAUUUCAGCUAUGUC